rnacentral:rRNA from 1 species
CCUACGGGAGGCAGCAGUAGGGAAUCUUCCACAAUGGGCGAAAGCCUGAUGGAGCAACGCCGCGUGGGUGAAGAAGGUCUUCGGAUCGUAAAACCCUGUUGUUAGAGAAGAAAGUGCGUGAGAGUAACUGUUCACGUUUCGACGGUAUCUAACCAGAAAGCCACGGCUAACUACGUGCCAGCAGCCGCGGUAAUACGUAGGUGGCAAGCGUUAUCCGGAUUUAUUUGGCGUAAAGGGAACGCAGGCGGUCUUUUAAGUCUGAUGUGAAAGCCUUCGGCUUAACCGGAGUAGUGCAUUGGAAACGGGGAGACUUGAGUGCAGAAGAGGAGAGUGGAACUCCAUGUGUAGCGGUGAAAUGCGUAGAUAUAUGGAAGAACACCAGUGGCGAAGGCGGCUCUCUGGUCUGUAACUGACGCUGAGGUUCGAAAGCGUGGGUAGCAAACAGGAUUAGAUACCCUGGUAGUC